CCGUGGGGUCAAAAGGCCCUGCCUCACCCCUCCUUAAUAGCAACGGUUUCCUCGUCCAAAGGAAAAGCCUACCGAAAUGGAAAUCCACACUGGAGCCUCAGAGCCACCUCAAUGCGGCUUGCCUUGUGGAGUUGGUCAACUCCAGCCAACCCACGCAGUGCCACCUGGACGCCGCAACAGACAAGCUACCUUUUGAGCUAAUGCCUGUGCUCAAGCGGAUGACAUGGGGCAGAGCGAUUGCGUACCGUCUGAGGCACUGGAUGAAACUCUGCAAAAAC